rnacentral:tRNA from 3 species
GCCCUCGUAGCUCAGUGGAUAGAGCACGGCUCUCCUAAAGCCGGUGUCGUAGGUUCGAUUCCUAUCGAGGGCAC